rnacentral:rRNA from 1 species
AGCAGCAGCCGCGGGAAUACAGAGGGUGCAAGCGUUAAUCGGAAUUACUGGGCGUAAAGCGCGCGUAGGUGGUUCGCCAAGUUGGAUGUGAAAUCCCCGGGCUCAACCUGGGAACUGCAUCCAAAACUGGCGAGCUAGAGUAUGGUAGAGGGUGGUGGAAUUUCCUGUGUAGCGGUGAAAUGCGUAGAUAUAGGAAGGAACAUCAGUGGCGAAGGCGACCACCUGGACUGAUACUGACACUGAGGUGCGAAAGCGUGGGGAGCAAACAGGAUUAGAUACCCGGGUAGUCCCUGUCUCUUAUAA